rnacentral:misc_RNA from 1 species
CAUAAAUCUAAAUUCCGUUCUUUUUUAAUAUAAAAAAUACCAAAGGGGAUCAAAGGGUGCCACUGUUAUAAAUUCUAAAAUAUUUUUAAAAUAACAAACUACCAUGAAGAAGCAUCAUAGAGACAUAAUUUUCAUUGGCGUCACGACAAACAGAUCUAAGCACCGCUAACAUCAAAAGAUUACCUGUCCAAAUGGAGUUUGAG